GUUUGUCGGAGGAUAAGAUUAAGACCUUAAUUCACAAAC
rnacentral:ncRNA from 2 species